CCUACGGGCGGCUGCAGUGAGGAAUAUUGGUCAAUGGUCGGGAGACUGAACCAGCCAAGCCGCGUGAGGGAUGAAGGUACAGAGUAUCGUAAACCUCUUUUGUCAGGGAACAAAGGCGGGGACGUGUCCCCGGAUGAGUGUACCUGAUGAAAAAGCAUCGGCUAACUCCGUGCCAGCAGCCGCGGUAAUACGGAGGAUGCGAGCGUUAUCCAGAUUUAUUGGGGUUAAAGGGUGCGCAGGCGGUCUGUUAAGUCAGGGGUCAAAGGCCGGGGCUCAACCGCAGCAACGCCGUUGAAACUGGCAGUCUCGAGUUGGAGAGAAGUAUGCGGAAUGCGCGGUGUAGCGGUGAAAUGCAUAGAUAUCGCGCAGAACUCCGAUUGCGAAGGCAGCAUGCCGGCUCCACACUGACGCUGAGGCACGAAAGCGUGGGUAUCGAACAGGAUUAGAUACCCUUGUAGUC
rnacentral:rRNA from 1 species